AGCUUAUUGGAGCAACUGACUCUUAAUCAGUGGGUUCCGGGUUCAAGUCCCGGGGGGUGUACCA
rnacentral:tRNA from 1 species